rnacentral:lncRNA from 1 species
GCAGGCUAGCCUUCCAAAGUGACUUGAGCCUGAAAGAAGGCAGACAAGUGACUUUCUCUGAGUGUCACUUAGCAAGCUCCAGCUCCUCACCUGAGAAUAUGGGGAUUCCAAAAUGCUGCUUAUUCAUCCAGAGAGCAGCUCCUGGGUGCCUUCUACAUGCCAGGAGCCACAGGACAGCGGCCCCGAGCAGGAGGGCAUCCGCUCACAGAGGGAUUUUCAAUGAAGCUCUUUGUUUAUUCAAAGUUGCGGGUUUUCUCAUGUGGAAUUUGAAGGAUCAGGGGAGGCCUGAGGGGAGAGACAGCACAAUUGUGUUUCUUGCUUUGGUCUUGAGAAAUGGAAUUAGGGAGACCUGAAGAUCAGGAAGAAAACAUGGAGAUUAUAAAUGUUUUUCUUAAUUUUUCAGGAAUUAACAUGUUCUACAUCCGUAGUUAAGAGAAAAGCAAAAACAAAACAAAUCUGUCUGUAUCAUUUAGGAUGUUUCACAGCUAAUAAUACAAAAGCUCAAGCCCUAGUCACUGAGCCAUAAGAACCAGAAUUGUUUCCUGCACAGGGAGUGUGGAGGGUGGGGCUUUGUGGCAACUUCAGCCUCUCUGUGAUGUCACAUAGCCUAUUUCCUUCUUUCCUUGCUGUCAUACUCUGCAUGUUGGCUUUUCAUCCUCCUGGUGACAGGAUGGCUGGAGAAGCUCCACACGUAACUUCCCAAUGCCUGUGUCUGAAAGAAAAGGAAGUGGGAGAGGACAACACGGCUUCAGUUUUAUCAGUUAUAACAUAAAUUGUGCUAAAUUACUAUUCUGCUGUGGAAAUAAACGAAGCCCACCACACGGCGAGAAGACAGAGGGGACUUCUUCAGAGCUGGCUCCGGCGAAGGCGUCGGUCACCAUCGCCUGCGUUUGCAGAGACGCACAGGCAGGCAGAGGAGUGGAAAGGCUGCAGGUGCGCUCGAACUGGAGGUCAUUGGUGUGACGAGCUGAAGAUGAACUACCUAGAAGUGGGGUGUCUUAUGUGAAGGUGUGGGGAGCACAUUCGGCUUUCUCUGUUUGGUCCUGAACUGGAAAUGGAAGCUGGAAGUCAUUGACCAAGUUCUGACCGCUCUGGACCAAUUGCUACCGAGGUUGUGAUUUGGCUUCUGGACCGGUUGCUGCAGAGGCUGGGGCCUGGGUCAGAGUUCUGAUGUCAUCUAUGGUCUGGCCAUUGUCUGUUUGUGUAUUCAAUCUCACUUCGUUCAAAUGCACGAUAAGCUAAGCCUUCGAACUGAGGCUUGUCGUAUCCUCUAAAUAUUUUGCUUUCCUGAAUAUUUGUUUUCUCUUGAGUUAAUACUUUUCUCUGUGUUGCUUUCUAUACACCGAUCACACUCAUAACUUGACUCUAAACCCUCUGCCAGGUGUCUAACUCUCUUCUUUGUUUAGAAGAAUCAGUUAUUCUAUUCAUUUCAUCUUCCUGAAGGUCCAACCCUGCUAUAUUCUGCUAUGCACUUAUCAGGUGUUGCGUUCCAAAUUUUGAAAGAAAUUGAUUUAUAUAUUUAAGUUUUAU